rnacentral:sRNA from 1 species
ACUUCGCUCGUGUGUAGUGGAAAUCAUUAUGAGUCUCGUUUUUUUCUAACGAGACUCAUAAUAUUGAAACGGAUAGCAGGAAAUAGC